ACGGGAGGCAGCAGUAAGGAAUUUUCGGCAAUGGGCGCAAGCCUGACCGAGCAACGCCGCGUGAGUGAUGAAGGUCUUCGGAUCGUAAAGCUCUGUUGUAAAGGAAGAAUGUUAUAUUGAGGAAAUGCGAUAUAAGUGACGGUACUUUACCAGAAAGUCACGGCUUACUACGUGCCAGCAGCCGCGGUAAUACGUAGGUGGCAAGCGUUAUCCGGAUUUAUUGGGCGUAAAGGGUGCGCAGGCGGUUUGUUAAGUUUGAGGUUAAAGCGUUGGGCUCAACCCAAUCCAGCCUCGAAUACUGGCAGACUAGAGUGCAGAAGAGGGUAAUGGAACUCCAUGUGUAGCGGUAAAAUGCGUAGAUAUAUGGAAGAACACCAGCGGCGAAGGCGGUUACCUGGUCUGUAACUGACGCUCAGGCACGAAAGCGUGGGGAGCAAAUAGGAUUAGAUACCCUGGUA
rnacentral:rRNA from 1 species